ACUGGGCACAACAAUAUUAUGGAGGAGUAGUGGAUGAUGUUGAAUGCCUCCUAGGGCUGCACAGCUCUACUGUACUAUGACCAGGACUUCAGUGAGCAAGGUGCAGGUGCAGGUGCAUGGACGAUGAACAGACUCACAUUGUUACCAAACAACCAUUCACUCGGAUCUAAGAAACAAAGGCAACAAAGUUUGCAGCUCUAAAGCAAGUACUCUUGGGAAAGAAAGUGGAGACAAUAAAAUGUAGUAACAUAAUAUUCAAGAGAUUAUCACGGAUAAAGGCACUAAGACAGGCUAAGGAGAAAUUACUGGAAGAAAACGCUCCUGCUGAGUCCAUCUAUAAUCUCAGCCACAAAGCAGGAGAAAGAGGUACAACGAAUACUCUGAGAAGAUUGUCUUGGUUACAAGAUGCCUGCAUUGUGCCGAUCCGAGUGAAUGGUUGCUGGGUUCAAUGAAACAGCAAAUGAUGGGAAGUAUCAACUCAUAUACAUGAAUGUGUGCUGGACAGCCCACUUUGUGUGUACGCGUGUAUCUUGGAGACAUGUUCGACUAGAUGUUGAAGUAAAGUACUGUGCUGACCAAACUAUACUGACAUGGCACCGCAAUGCUGCUUUCAAAUGCUCGAAACAAUAAUGGGAUGCUAUCGAACAUUAUUUAAUUGCCCUGAAUGGUUACCUACAAAUUAAUAUUUGUAAUAACAAUUUUAAUGUUAUUUUGGUAACAAUCUGUUUUCGUCGUCCACCUUGCACCUGUUUCUAUAGCUUGCUCA